GGGGAUUUAGCUCAGUGAUAGAGCGCUUGCCUAGCAAGCGCAAGGCCCUGAGUUCAGUCCCCA
rfam:Rattus norvegicus chromosome 20, whole genome shotgun sequence.